rnacentral:rRNA from 1 species
UACGUAGGGCGCGAGCGUUGUCCGGAAUUAUUGGGCGUAAAGAGCUCGUAGGCGGCCUGUUGCGUCCGCUGUGAAAUCCCGGGGCUCAACCCCGGGCUUGCAGUGGAUACGGGCUGGCUAGAGGCAGGCAGGGGAGAACGGAAUUCCCGGUGUAGCGGUGAAAUGCGCAGAUAUCAGGAGGAACACCGGUGGCGAAGGCGGGUCUCUGGGCAGUAACUGACGCUGAGGCGCGAAAGCGUGGGGAGCAAACAGG